rnacentral:rRNA from 1 species
GGUCGAAAGGGGAAAUUCAUUCGCGUUUCGGCUGUCGGAAUCGAACGUUUGUGUGACGGAUGACGUUCGCGUUGUCUGCGCCUUUCUUCUAACCGAUGUCGAACGCGUGCACUUUUCCCCUAGUAGGACGUCGCGAUCCGUUGGGUGUCUGUCUAAGACUCGAGGUGGAGCCCACGUGACUCUUUGUCGCGUGGACCCUUGAUGCUCCGACAGACUCGCUCGACGGUAUGCUAAAGGCGCGGGGCCGCUACUCAGUUAGCGUUCGGCCCGUAGCAAGCGCGUUCUGUGUUUGACGGUGAUCGGACCUGGUGCCGAUUCUGUCCCGGAACGACUGUUGGUUACGGUGUUCUCGAACAGACCUCGU